rnacentral:rRNA from 1 species
GGACCCGCACAAGCGGUGGAUGAUGUUCUUUAAUUCGAUGCAACGCGAAAAACCUUACCCACCUUUGACAUGGUAGGAACUUUCCAGAGAUGGAUUGGUGCUCGAAAGAGAACCUACACACAGGUGCUGCAUGGCUGUCGUCAGCUCGUGUCGUGAGAUGUUGGGUUAAGUCCCGCAACGAGCGCAACCCUUAUCAUUAGUUGCUACGCAAGGGCACUCUAAUGAGACUGCCGGUGAUAAACCGGAGGAAGGUGGGGAUGACGUCAAGUCCUCAUGGCCCUUAUAGGUGGGGCUAGAAACGUCAUACAAUGGCUGGUACAAAGGGUUGCCAACCCGCGAGGGGGAGCUAAUCUCAUAAACCCAGUCGUAGUCCGGAUCGCAGUCUGCAACUCGACUGCGUGAAGUCGGAAUCGCUAGUAAUCGUGGAUCAGCAUGUCACGGUGAAUACGUUCCCGGGUCUU